rnacentral:lncRNA from 1 species
CUGGAAAUAGGUAGCCUGUCUGCUUUUGGAAAAGGAAGUCUGCUGUUUCCUCACCCUGAAGGAAAAGGAAAGGGGAGAAUUUCAUAAGGAAAAGGGAAAAGUGAGCAAGUACACAUAGGUUUGAAAUGAAUGUUUGUUCAUGAGGGUACCACUAAGUCCUCUGAAAAAUAUUCCAAGGCUCCUGGUGAUCUUUACUAGGUAAAGUCUAAUAGAGAAACUUAACAAGGAAUGUACCUCCUGAAGAGGAAUCUAGAAGACACACCAUGGGUGAGAAACGAAUCCAGAUUGCAGGACAUUAAGGAAAAACCUAUAAACAUUUAUAUGGAAUGGGAGACAACAGCCAAGAGGAAAAUAAUGGACUAAAGAAACUGAGAUUGUACAUAUUUUGAAGGAGAAAGGUACUAUGGAAAAUCAGAGGGGAUAGUUUUGAGAACUCAUACUUAGCCUUAAGAAAAAUAUACAUUUCUUCAUGAUUUUACAUUUAAUACAACUUACAAAUAUGUACUCAUUAGAGUUAUAAUGAAAAAAUUUAAUUGUACAAUAUAAAAAGUGUGGUACAUAGCAAAUAAACUGU